rnacentral:rRNA from 1 species
AGUUGCGAUCAUACCAGCACUAAUGCACCGGAUCCCAUCAGAACUCCGCAGUUAAGCGUGCUUGGGCGAGAGUAGUACUAGGAUGGUGACCCCCUGGGAAGUCCUCGUGUUGCAACCCC